GUCACAUUGCUACCACUUAAUUCAGCAACAGAACUGGGAAAGAAAUCGAAAUAUGAGAAAUUAUUUCACUGUGCCUUUUUCUCAAACAGUAUGAUACAUCAUCUAACAUCUGUCAAUGGACUGGACAGAGUAAUGAAUGAAAGAUGCUUACUGAUAUGUGAAACGGCAAGAUUCAUACUUGAUUUGAGAAAAGAGAAUAAAGAUGAAUAUCUUAAGAAAGUAAUGCAAAUGGCUUUGGCCAUUGGAUUUAAGUCAUCUCAAGUCGAAACAGAUGCUAGCAAUACUCUGUUGUUCACACUAUCAUGAUGAUUGCCAUCAUUAGCACUCCUUAUCACUUAUUGUUACUAAUAUGACAAUUUAUUAUUAUUCAUAAAACACUAAAAUUAUGAUGAUACAGAUAAAUAGUCAUUGAUUUCUUCAUUUUCAUUUCGGAAAACAAGGUUUCUUUCUAUAUAGUCCA